GUUGUGUGGGGACCUCGGCUUGGGGGGUGGUUGUGCUUCGGGCAGGCAGACUGCCCCGUUCAGAUCUGCAGCUCCUGUUCCUGAGACCGGUAUCCCGGCGUGGGGCAGUGGUCUGCGGUAGCCGCCCUGCCUGGCCACCUGCCUAGACAAAUGACGCAAGCUGAGUGGUCAUGUUGGGACGAGCCGGAUCUCGGCGAUAAUGAACUAGAACAACAGCCCAGCUCUAUGAAGAGGACUGGCAUUGCUUUGUGUGUGCAACAGGGAACAAGUGCAGUAAUCCAAAACCAGAAUGUGUGUACAGGGUAGAAAUGAGACGGAGCAUGAGAAACCAGGUUGCUGCUCCUGCAGCAGAGGGAAAGCAGACCUGUACCUUGGCUGCUCCAUCCUGUAGGCAAUUUGAAUUUAACGUGAAAGAGAGUCUGCACAAGGAUGCCAAAGUGGAAACUAGACUGUUCACAGUGUGGGCAUGGUAGCAGUUCCAGCAGAGAUGUAUCACGAAACUCAGGACAGCGAUGUCUUAAAACACUGAAGCUGAACAUGGGUCAAAGCCCUGACCUUUGACGCAGUGCUUUUCAUACACAAAAGAAGAACUGAAACAGUGAAGGCCAAGUACCUCAUGAGUCUGUCGACAGUCUUUUGGAAUUGCCAGAUAGCUUUCAAAGUGACACACCAAGAUUGAACGCCUCCUCCCGUGCACCCAUUGAUGAUGGAGGCUGCACAGGAUAGCGUUCCUUUUUAUUUUGCUCUGUCAGUACAUACUGUGCUCACGAGACAGCGCAAACUGAAUCCAGCAUGCCAUAAAUGCACUGUCUGUGGCAGUCUGCACUCUGUGGCGCACUUCCGUCAUAGAGCUUUGAAAGAAAUGCUUGUGCAAAAGUCAAAACAAUCACCUGGUUCUUCGAGGCAAUGUGCUCCAGUUUAUCUUCUUUGCCUUGUGGAGUUGAGAAAAUAUGUUAAUUUACUGAAGGGAUCCAGAUAUCUGCUCCAGAUCUCAUUUUAUGUCGAUGCAGGUAAUUAAAAAUCAUCUUUUGACUUGUAAACUAAGCAAAUUUUAUACUGAAUAAAGAGUACA